GGGGAUGAUCUGGCUUCGACGGAUAGCAUUGCGCGAUAAGUUGCGUGUCGAGCUAACCUGACUUGAGCUCGUGAAUUACGUCAGGAAACUGUAACUGCGAACGAUUACUCGUACGCGACGGCGGCAUAGACCUGCCAUCUGUCUUAUGGACACGCCCUCCCACAGGCAGUCCUUAAGGCAUCGUCAAUUGUGGGGACUCUAUUUUGAAUUCCGGCUGCAUUCCAUAUAGAGUAUUGAUCAGCCUUUAUCUGACCUGGCUUUGGUCGCACGCCAAAGGGCACAGACGAGACACUAAGAACGACCUACACACGUAGACGCUUGAUCGUUCGACUUUUCGGACCCGGGUUCGAUUCCCGGCAUCUCCACGA
rnacentral:tmRNA from 1 species